GUGCUCACUUUAGCAGCAUUUAUGUUACAAUUGGAAUGAUACAGGGAAGAUUGCAUGGCCCCUGCACAAAGAUGAUAUGAAAAUUCGCAAUGCAUUCUGUAUUUAU